AUUGAACGCUGGCGGCAGGCCUAACACAUGCAAGUCGAGCGGAUGAAGGGAGCUUGCUCCUGGAUUCAGCGGCGGACGGGUGAGUAAUGCCUAGGAAUCUGCCUGGUAGUGAGGGAUAACGUCCGGAAACGGGCGCUAAUACCGCAUACGUCCUGAGGGAGAAAGUGGGGGAUCUUCGGACCUCACGCUAUCAGAUGAGCCUAGGUCGGAUUAGCUAGUUGGUGGGGUAAGGGCCUACCAAGGCGACGAUCCGUAACUGGUCUGAGAGGAUGAUCAGUCACACUGGAACUGAGACACGGUCCAGACUCCUACGGGAGGCAGCAGUGGGGAAUAUUGGACAAUGGGCGAAAGCCUGAUCCAGCCAUGCCGCGUGUGUGAAGAAGGUCUUCGGAUUGUAAAGCACUUUAAGUUGGGAGGAAGGGCAGUAAGUUAAUACCUUGCUGUUUUGACGUUACCAACAGAAUAAGCACCGGCUAACUUCGUG
rnacentral:rRNA from 1 species